GGGGACAAGUCCAGGGACGCAGUGGCCGGUGAUGGAGGAGUCUUCAUGGAGGGGACGGGGGUUCCUUGUGCCACCACGGUGCCAGAGGACACAGGGAUCCUCGUCACCACGGUCUAUGGAGAGGACUUGGACAUGGUGGCCAAUGCUGGAGACACCUUCGUGGAGAAGAUGAAGGAUCCUGGUGCCACCACGGUGCCCGGGGACACGGGGACCCCCGUGACCACGGAUGGGACCACGGUGGGACAUGUCACCGUGGCC
rnacentral:lncRNA from 1 species